AAGGGAAACUGUAUUGACGUCACUGCCUACCAUUAGUCUACCAGUCCAGUUAAAACUGUAUUGAUUAUUAACGUCAAUAAUUCUGUUUAUUUGUCUGCUUCAAUGGUGGAAUUUCUUGUUUAGAAGAUGGGUUGCCAGGCAAUGAAGCAUGUCCAUGGUAGCAGUCAAUAAAAAUCAAGCAAUCAAACUGAUUAUCAACUAAACACUAAGUUCCAUCACUCUCUAUCGAUAGAAUCAAAGUUAUCUUGUCCCUAAGCAUCGACCAAGAAAUCCUCCUAAUGAACAUCUACAUCAAGUUUAAAAUUCUGCCUCAAUUAAAAGCAGGGUUGUUAUGUUCCAAAGUCUUGACCAAUCAAAUUGCUUAUCGCUCCUUAGCCUAAGCAGAAAAUUCUCAUCAAACUUAGUCAAGGUACAAAUAUUUAGCAGCCUCUGAUCAUUCAUCAUUUGAGUGUUUUUGAAUUCCUUGCAAACUACAAUAUUAUGAAAUUUGAAUCUUCAAAAGGAACAUACCAGUAUGUCCAAAAAGGGUUCAAUUCCAUUCAGUAUUACGAAGAUAUGAUAUGAUGAAUGGAAAACUUUUUAACAAUCAGCAGCCUUUCCAGAUGAUAUAAACGGCGGAACUACCUAUAAUCUUUUAAAGGGCCUCUUUUUAAUCUAUCAGAAUCCAAGCUGGAAGAUUGUAAACAUGUAACGACAGCUUUCAUUUUUAAACUAUCAAUUUGAGUACAUAUUUGCGUUGAUAAAGGUGCAAGAAAUUAGAUAAUGUAAAAUCAAUACAAUUGACAAUUCACAGCUUUAAAAUGAUAUCAAAACAUAACUCAAAAGAGGCCUUUAUUUAUGUCAGUUUAAUGCACUGUUGCACUCAAGUUUCUUCAGUUUACAAUUUAUGCUAAUUCUUUGAGUCCUCAAGCAAAAUAAUUACAAUAAGAUUUCAAAAUUAGGUCCCAGUCUAUUGAAUAAAUAUAAACUCUAAAUUUUGAACAAAUAAAUAUAUUAGAAUAAAUUAAAAAGGUAUUAAAUAUUGCUUAGGUAAUGUUUCAUGUUUCAAAAUAGAAGCAAUAUUUGUUUACCAUUUUAAAUUAGGGAACUAUUUGUUUUGUAAAGACGAUUGUUAUUAUGUAAUUCAGAACAUUUGAGUAUAAAAAGACCCUUCUGAAGAAUGAGCUGACUUGAACAAAAAGAUAGUACAAUCACAAUAUUUGUGUAAGUAACAGAGAUAGAGACUGUGUGAAAUAGACACCAAUGUAAACUUAAAUUUGCAAUGUUAGAAUUGAUCGAAUUGAAUAAUUUUUGGACCAAACUGUUUUUCAUGUUAUAUACAUUUGAUUCUGUAUGGUAUUUAAAGGCAAUGUAAUAUUAACUGACUAAUUUUAUAUAUGUACUUCAAUUAUUUUGUGUUGCAACUUGUGCUUAAAUGUCUGUCUUUAAUGUAGGUCAUAUUUUAGAUAUAGAUCUUGGGGUUUAAUAAAGGGUAUUGCACUUUAUUUCUCCUCCUAUAAUAUUCUGAUUUAUUAUGAUUGCUGGUUGUUCUUAAAAAAGUGAUAUAUAGUAACCAAGUUUUUCUAUUAUAUACAUGUACAUAUGUAUGUUGCUUUAACAAAACAAAGAAAAACAAUAAUGUUUUUUUUCUGUUUACUCAUGUAGAAAGAAACUGUGAACCCUAUGCACUACCUGUACAAAAGAUGCAAGUUAUUUUUAAAGUCGACAUUACCAACUUGUAAUAUAUUUACCGUUUUUGUGCAUGUGUUAUGUCCUUAUUAUAUGUACAAGUUCACUUAUGUUGUUUUCUUAUAAUCUUUGAAUGGCAUUUGUGUUAUGUUAUUUUGUUUUCUUGUUUAUUGACCUGAUAGUUUGUGUGUGUGUCAGAAUGAGGAAAUGACCACUUCACCUUUACUCUGUCAUACUGCCUACUUUAAUCGGGUAUUAACCAAUGUCACCAGUAUAUAGACUUGUAUCUAUUUUCGUUC